CUUCCUCCUCCCCCUCGUCCCCACUCCUCCCCCUCCUUGGCUUGGCCUUCCAAGUUUCCACCUUUCCCCUCUCUCUCUCUCUGUCUGCAAUCUCAAGGGCUGAUAACCAUCUAGCCGCUGUGGCGUGCGGCUGUCCAACUGUCUCUCUGUUUGUCUGUCUCUGUCUCUCUCUCUCUCUCUCUGUGUGAGGAAGCUCUGUAGCUGAGCAGUAGUUGAGCAAACAAGGGAAUAAUUGGGUACUGAGCCACAUUACGAUUUUAUCGUUGUAAGUAUGACCGGAGGCUGAACUCAUGUGCAAUAAUGAGGUGCUGAAGUUUUCAUUAAGUGGCUGGUGCUUCGUGCAGUAGUAAUUAAUCAAACGGGUCUCCGUCAGGAAGGAAAAUGGAUUGCAAUAAAGACGAGGCCAUCAGGGCGAAAGAAAUUGCAGAGAAAAAGUUUGCGUCAAAGGAUGCAAUAGGAGCGAUGAAGUUUGCUCUAAAGGCCCAAAACCUGUAUCCAGAACUCGAUGGGAUUCAGCAAAUGAUAUCCACUCUUGAUGUUCAUAUUGCUGCACAGAGUAAAGAGAGCGGGGAGUGUGAUUGGUACAGGAUACUUGGUGUGGAUCCAAGGGCUGAUGACGACACUGUGAGAAAACAGUACAGGAAGCUUGCACUCUCCCUGCACCCAGAUAAGAACAAGUCUGUAGGAGCUGAUGAGGCCUUUAAGCUUGUUUCACAGGCAUGGAGUUCACUGUCAGAUAGGGUAAAAAGGGCAGCAUAUGACCAGAGGAGGAUCAGCAAAAUGAUAUUAUCCCAGAAAGUUGCGACGCCGAAUGGAGGUGUUCCUCCUGCUGCACCUCGGGCUAAUGGGUUCCAUAAUUCUAGCAAAACUGCAAGUUCAAGUGUUAGGACCCACAAGAGUAAUUUCCAUUCUGGUCAACAUGUCCAUAAGCAAAAAGCAAACACCUUCUGGACUGUGUGCCAUCGAUGUAAAACACAAUACGAAUACCUGAGGGUUUACCUGAAUCAUAAUCUCUUGUGCCCCAAUUGUCACAAGGCGUUUUUUGCAAUAGAGAUAGCUCCGCCGCCUUCUAAUGUGCAAAGAUCUUCUAAACACCGGAAUCAUUCCCACCCCAAGGACAAUCAGGCAGCACAUCACACCAAUGCCCAGUGGGGCCCAUCCUCUGGAGGGGGUUCUUCAUCUGCUGCAAAUGCAUUCCAUCAGGCGUAUACAAAAGUGAAGAGGGACCGUGAGGAAGGUCAGGGAGCCAUGAAAAGAGAAGAAGCUAUACGAAGAAAAAGUGCACUUGCCAGUGCUUCAAAGAGAAAAGGAAGUGCGAAUGACAUGAGCUUUAGUAGCCAAAAGAAAGUAUCAAGCUCCAUGGGCAGUACUGAAAUAUGUGGUUCGUCUUUAGUUCCCAAGCCCGGUUCUAUGAGGGCUUCUAUUGAACCUGAUCUUAGGAAGAUAAUUAUGGAGAAGGCUAUGAUGGAAAUUCGUAAUAAAUUGGACGGGGGGAAAUUGUCUACUGUGGAGGAAACUGCACGAGAGGAGGACCAGAAUGGUGAUAAGAGAGCGACUGGGGAUAACUUCAACGAACCAAUGGAUAUGGAUAGUGCCAUAAAGAAGUUCUUUUUUCAUUUAUGUAUUGAUGUCCCAAACCCUGAUUUUCAUGAUUUUGACAAGGACCGCGUGGAGAACUCUUUUGCAGAGAACCAGGUUUGGGCUACCUAUGAUGAUGCCGAUGGGAUGCCCCGUCGUUAUGCCCUGAUCCACAAUGUGAUUUCUUCUAACCCCUUCAAAAUUCAGAUUAGUUGGCUCAUUCCGAGGACCUACAAUCACAAUGGCCUCCUAAGCUGGGCCACCUGUGGCUUCCCAGUAACUUGUGGGGACUUUGCAGUGGGCAGACGCGAGAUCAUUGAAUCGCUCAAUUCAUUUUCUCAUAAGGUUCGGUGGACUAGAGGCUCAAGCUGUGCCAUUCGUAUAUUUCCUCGAAAGGGAGAUGUUUGGGCUCUAUAUAGGAACUGGUGUCCUGACUGGAACGAGCUGACUGCGAGUGAAGAAAUACAGAAGUACAAUUUGGUAGAGGUUCUUGAAGACUUUGAUGAAGAACUAGGAGUAACUGUAGUUCCCCUGGUCAAAGUUGCUGGUUUUAAGACAAUGUUUCACCAUCACUUAGACUCUAGAGAAGUCAAGCAGAUCCCAAUUGAAGAGAUGUCUCGGUUUUCUCAUUAUGUUCCUUCUUUCUUGCAUAGAGGUCAGGAAGCACCGAGUGCCCCAAAGGGCUGCAAGGAGCUGGACCCUGCAGCUACUCCAAAUGAACUUUCUCACAUAGUUGCAGAUGCCAAGGAAGAGAUCUUGGAUAAAGGGGAGCCCGUUUGAUAUAGUGUUGUCUGAGGAUGGAGUAACGUGACCUCACAAAAGUUGCGGAGGAGAUCCUGAUAUCUUCUGGCCCAAGCAUAUGCAACCAUAUUAUCGGAUUCUAAGCAGCUUUCAAUCAGGGAUCUCCAGGCCACUUGCCGAGCGUUUUGAUAGGUGAUUGUGAAUCAUGGGAGUUGUGAGAAGCUUCAACUUGGAGUGAAGUAAAGCGAACUGAAUGGCUUGUGGUUUAUGAGGUGAGAGCUGUUUAUUCUUCCGCGAAGCUUCCUCAGAGGAAGCAUGCAAAUUGAAUUCUGGUUUUGCCUCGUGUGCUAUGUCUUAAGAUGACAUCUCAUUGCAGACUAAUCUCCGAUGAGCUGAUUUCCCGCCUUUGCAUAGUGCACCAGUUUUGCAAAAUCAAAUAUUAAUGAGAUGUUGAGAGUCAAUAAAAUCACUGCCCAGUCGAACUUGGGAGCCUGCUAAUAUCGAACCACUCCCAGCCAUCCCACUGCAAGAGGUGCAAUAUUGAGAGAAACUUUGAGCUGUUGCUGAGGCAUCCAAAAAGGAGUGUUGAUAAUUCAUACAUUUGUCACACAACUCCAAGUUCCUUGUCAAGCUCAAAGUUCAGGAUCUCCAGAAGUGACCCAACAAAACUUUUUCCUGCAGUGGAUUCUGUGCCGUGGGCAUAGGAACUUGUAGACAUUAUUACUGAGCAAAUCAUGGAGAAAGCAAAUCCAAGGUAUUCUUACCAUCGAUUAGUCUAAUGUUUAUGAGUAAACAUAUCGUAGGCUAGCUCCAUGGAACAUGAAGUUUCUUUACUGGAUUGUGCUGAAAACAUCUUAGCUGAAGUUUGAGCAUACUUAUGUUAGAUCUUCACUUUGUGAAGUUAUUGUGCCUUUGGCAGUUUGGAAGAUGGCUGGAAAUGCAUUAUUUGCCUGAACGAUAUUCUGCCAAUUCCAUUCGUUUGGCGAUCGGUUUCCCAUCUCCGAAUCUUUGAAGUGAAAGAGUUAUUCACGUCCCACAAACUUGAGUUGUGCAGUGAAAUAUUAAGAGGUCGUUGAGGUUUGGCUCGGCAUUUUUUAAUACAUUUGCGGAGGCUGUUGCUUGCAAGGAAUUAAGUUGUCUUGCUGCUGCUGUUUUUAAUUAUUUGUGUGUUUUGGGGGCAGAGAAAGUGUUAGCUCUUCUUGGUUUUUCUUCUUUUUUAGGUACAACGGUUUUUCAUCUGAAAGGUGACAGUACUACCAACCCAUGAAAGCUACUCUUAUCAGAUUUAAUCAUAAAAUUAAGGAAAUUACUCUGUC